GCUGGCGGCUUGCCUAAUACAUGCAAGUCGAGCGAAUCUUUGGGAGCUUGCUCCCAUUGGUUAGCGGCGGACGGGUGAGUAACACGUGGGCAACCUGCCUGUAAGACUGGGAUAACUUCGGGAAACCGGAGCUAAUACCGGAUAAUCCAUUUCCUCUCAUGAGGAAAUGCUGAAAGUCGGUUUCGGCUGACACUUACAGAUGGGCCCGCGGCGCAUUAGCUAGUUGGUGAGGUAACGGCUCACCAAGGCGACGAUGCGUAGCCGACCUGAGAGGGUGAUCGGCCACACUGGGACUGAGACACGGCCCAGACUCCUACGGGAGGCAGCAGUAGGGAAUCUUCCACAAUGGACGAAAGUCUGAUGGAGCAACGCCGCGUGAGCGAUGAAGGCCUUCGGGUCGUAAAGCUCUGUUGUUAGGGAAGAACAAGUACCGGAGUAACUGCCGGUACCUUGACGGUACCUAACCAGAAAGCCACGGCUAACUACGUGCCAGCAGCCGCGGUAAUACGUAGGUGGCAAGCGUUGUCCGGAAUUAUUGGGCGUAAAGCGCGCGCAGGCGGUCCUUUAAGUCUGAUGUGAAAGCCCACGGCUCAACCGUGGAGGGUCAUUGGAAACUGGGGGACUUGAGUGCAGAAGAGGAAAGCGGAAUUCCACGUGUAGCGGUGAAAUGCGUAGAGAUGUGGAGGAACACCAGUGGCGAAGGCGGCUUUCUGGUCUGUAACUGACGCUGAGGCGCGAAAGCGUGGGGAGCAAACAGGAUUAGAU
rnacentral:rRNA from 1 species